GGGGAUGUAGCUCAGCGGGAGAGCACCUGCUUUGCAAGCAGGGGGUCAGCGGUUCGAAUCCGCUCAUCUCCA
rnacentral:tRNA from 1 species